rnacentral:lncRNA from 1 species
GCUGGGUGAGUUCGUGUGCAGCUUUGUGUUGAGUCUUGGCUCUGUGCGUGUGAUGAUGCUGAGUGAGUGAGCUGUGUGUGUGCACAUGAACUGAAAAAAGUUUCAGAUCUUGUAGCCAGCUCGUGUGCACCACAUGAGUGUUUGUGUUUAUGCCCCAAAGAAGAAGGUCACCAAGCUGGAGGGGAGAAGGUCAGAUGAGGUGUAGGGAGCAGGGGUGUCGCCUUUGAUGAGGAACAUGGUUGCUGUUCCAGAACGUGGUGUUCUUUUUGUUGUUGCUGAGUGAGUGAGUGAGCGGGUAAUUUCUGAGGCAUAAAGGAACAUGCAAACAAUGUACAUACAUGUACAGCGAUCUGAGGCGAGAUGCAGAGGGUGUAAAGACAGAGUUUUGAGUCUGGGUGGAUGCAAGUGAAGUGCUCAUGAUGAUGGCCAGACUUUUAAUAUCUUAAGGGGGCAGCAUAGUGUAUAUGUUGAUGAAAAUUUAGUAGUUGUUGUAAAAGGCACUUGGUUUCGGAUAAAUGAAAUCCGAGAGGGAUCUCUUUUUGUCAUAUAUAUAUUGUAUGCCUCUGUUUCUCAGGCUCCCGGUCAAAAUCCAUCGUCUCACGUGCAGCCAAGUGAAAAUUUGCAGUCAUCCGCCCGCUUUCUGACUUAACAAAUAUUUUUGUUUGCGGAAACCCCC